GGUGCAAAACCCUAGCUUCCGCGGCCGUUUCUCCUCGCCAACUACUCUUCUGCCUCGUCUACUACGCGGGCGGGAUGAAGGUGAAGGUGAAGGUGAUAUCACGCUCCACCGACGACUUCACGCGCGAGCGCAGCCAGGACUUGCAGAAAGUAUUCCGCAAUUACGAUCCAGGACUUCAUAUGCAAGAGAAAGCUGUUGAGUACAGUCGGGCACUUAAUACCGCAAAGUUAGAGAAGAUAUUUGCAAAGCCAUUUAUUGGAGCAAUGUACGGGCAUAUUCAUGCCGUAUCGUGCAUGGCGAAGAACCCCAAUCAUUUGAAAGCAAUAUUUUCUGGUUCCAUGGAUGGGGGGUGUUUUGUGUAAGUACACCUAUGGCAGGACCUAUAUAGUCUCUGGAAGUGAUGAUACAAAUAUUCGGCUGUGGAAGUCCAAAGUUUCAGAAUAACUGGGAGUCGCAAGUUUUACACAACGAACAAGUUUGUCUUACUGCUCAUUCUUCUUCCAAGGGAGCGCAAAAAGCAAGAAUACCUAGGUGCUGUCAAGGAGCGGUAUAAGCACCUUCCAGAAGUCAAGCGGAUUGUGCGGCAUAGACACCUACCAAAGCCAAUCUACAAGGCAGGCAACUUAAGGCAUACUAUGAUUGAAUCAGAGAACCGUAAAGAAGAAAGAAGACGAAAGCACAGUUCUCCAGGGAGCAUGCCUGUACAGUCCUUCAGGAAACGAAGAAUCAUCAAAGAAGUUGAGUCGCUAUAUGAAGCGCUGGCCUUGCCUUUCAGCGCGUUGUUUCUGUUUAUCUCCAAGUCGCAAAGCUAUCUUAACAUCGUGAAGUUUGUUCUGGCGGGGUUUGAGAAGCAGAAAGAAUCAACACUGUUCUAUGUUUCAGUUGAGACUCGAAACUGCUGAAGUUUUGCCCCUCCUACAAUAUGUUGUAUUAUUUUGUUUUGAGAGAAUCCCUAAUGUUUCUAUAGAGCCUGUUUGCACUAGCAUAGAAAGAAUUUUGUACCUACAUAAUCCAAAACUUAUUAUUAUUAUAGGAUUCCAAUCCUAUAAAAAUUUAAAAAUAAAUCAUUCCUAUAUUCCAAACAA